AGUGAACGCUGGCGGUAGGCCUAACACAUGCAAGUCGAACGGCAGCACAGUAAGAGCUUGCUCUUACGGGUGGCGAGUGGCGGACGGGUGAGGAAUACAUCGGAAUCUACUUUUUCGUGGGGGAUAACGUAGGGAAACUUACGCUAAUACCGCAUACGACCUACGGGUGAAAGCAGGGGAUCUUCGGACCUUGCGCGAUUGAAUGAGCCGAUGUCGGAUUAGCUAGUUGGCGGGGUAAAGGCCCACCAAGGCGACGAUCCGUAGCUGGUCUGAGAGGAUGAUAAGCCACACUGGAACUGAGACACGGUCCAGACUCCUACGGGAGGCAGCAGUGGGGAAUAUUGGACAAUGGGCGCAAGCCUGAUCCAGCCAUACCGCGUGGGUGAAGAAGGCCUGCGGGUUGUAAAGCCCUUUUGUUGGGAAAGAAAAGCAGCAGGUUAAUACCCCGCUGUUCUGACGGUACCCAAAGAAUAAGCACCGGCUAACUUCGU
rnacentral:rRNA from 1 species